rnacentral:rRNA from 1 species
CAUUUUGGUCACAUUUUCUUGUCAAAGCUUGAGCUUGUCUGAUCUCUGAAGCUAAGCAGUGCUGGGCCUGGUAAGUACUUGGAUUGGAUACCAUCCAAUACCAGGUGUCUGAGUGG